rnacentral:rRNA from 1 species
AGCGAACGCUGGCGGCAGGCCUAACACAUGCAAGUCGAACGAACCUUUCGGGGUUAGUGGCGGACGGGUGAGUAACACGUGGGAACGUGCCUUUAGGUUCGGAAUAACUCAGGGAAACUUGUGCUAAUACCGAAUGUGCCCUUCGGGGGAAAGAUUAAUCGCCUUUAGAGCGGCCCGCGUCUGAUUAGCUAGUUGGUUGAGGUAAUGGCUCACCAAGGCGACGUUCAGUAGCUGGUCUGAGAGGAUGAUCAGCCACAUUGGGACUGAGACACGGCCCAAACUCCUACGGGAGGCAGCAGUGGGGAAUCUAGCGCAAUGGGCGAAAGCCUGACGCAGCCAUGCCGCGAGAAUGAUGAAGGUCUUAGGAUUGUAAAAUUCUUUCACGGGGGACGAUAAUGACGGUACCCGGAGAAGAAGCCCCGGCUAAGUUCGUG